GACGAACGCUGGCGGCGUGCUUAACACAUGCAAGUCGAACGGAAAGGCCCUGCUUUUGUGGGGUGCUCGAGUGGCGAACGGGUGAGUAACACGUGAGUAACCUGCCCUUGACUUUGGGAUAACUUCAGGAAACUGGGGCUAAUACCGGAUAGGAGCUCCUGCUGCAUGGUGGGGGUUGGAAAGUUUCGGCGGUUGGGGAUGGACUCGCGGCUUAUCAGCUUGUUGGUGGGGUAGUGGCUUACCAAGGCUUUGACGGGUAGCCGGCCUGAGAGGGUGACCGGCCACAUUGGGACUGAGAUACGGCCCAGACUCCUACGGGAGGCAGCAGUGGGGAAUAUUGCACAAUGGGCGGAAGCCUGAUGCAGCAACGCCGCGUGCGGGAUGACGGCCUUCGGGUUGUAAACCGCUUUCGCCUGUGACGAAGCGUGAGUGACGGUAAUGGGUAAAGAAGCACCGGCUAACUACGUGCCAGCAGCCGCGGUGAUACGUAGGGUGCGAGCGUUGUCCGGAUUUAUUGGGCGUAAAGGGCUCGUAGGUGGUUGAUCGCGUCGGAAGUGUAAUCUUGGGGCUUAACCCUGAGCGUGCUUUCGAUACGGGUUGACUUGAGGAAGGUAGGGGAGAAUGGAAUUCCUGGUGGAGCGGUGGAAUGCGCAGAUAUCAGGAGGAACACCAGUGGCGAAGGCGGUUCUCUGGGCCUUUCCUGACGCUGAGGAGCGAAAGCGUGGGGAGCGAACAGGCUUAGAUACCCUGGUAGUCCACGCUGUAAACGGUGGGUACUAGGUGUGGGGUCCAUUCCACGGGUUCCGUGCCGUAGCUAACGCUUUAAGUACCCCGCCUGGGGAGUACGGCCGCAAGGCUAAAACUCAAAGGAAUUGACAGGGCCCCGCACAAGCGGCGGAGCAUGCGGAUUAAUUCGAUGCAACGCGUAGAACCUUACCUGGGUUUGACAUGGAUCGGGAGUGCUCAGAGAUGGGUGUGCCUCUUUUGGGGUCGGUUCACAGGUGGUGCAUGGCUGUCGUCAGCUCGUGUCGUGAGAUGUUGGGUUAAGUCCCGCAACGAGCGCAACCCUUGUUCACUGUUGCCAGCACGUUAUGGUGGGGACUCAGUGGAGACCGCCGGGGUCAACUCGGAGGAAGGUGGGGAUGACGUCAAGUCAUCAUGCCCCUUAUGUCCAGGGCUUCACGCAUGCUACAAUGGCUGGUACAGAGAGUGGCGAGCCUGUGAGGGUGAGCGAAUCUCGGAAAGCCGGUCUCAGUUCGGAUUGGGGUCUGCAACUCGACCUCAUGAAGUCGGAGUCGCUAGUAAUCGCAGAUCAGCAACGCUGCGGUGAAUACGUUCCCGGG
rnacentral:rRNA from 1 species